AUUGAGAGUUUGAUUCUGGCUCAGGAUGAACGCUGGCGGCGUGUCUAAGGCAUGCAAGUCGAGUGGGUUUAGACCCACGGCAAACGGGUGCGUAACACAUUGGUAACUUACCCCGAAGUCANNNNNNNNNNNNNNNNNNNNNNNNNNNNNNNCCGCCUCACUGGGACUGAGACACUGCCCAGACUCCUACGGGAGGCUGCAGUCAAGAAUAUUCCCCAAUGGCCGAAAGGCUGAGGGAGCGACGCCGCGUGUAUGAAGAAACCCUUCGGGGUGUAAAGUACUUUUAAUCGGGACGAAACAAUGACGGUACCGAUUGAAUAAGGGGCUGCUAAACUCGUGCCAGCAGCAGCGGUAAUACGAGUGCCCCAAGCGUUAUCCGGAUUUAUUGGGCGUAAAGCGUACGUAGGUGGUUUAUCGCAUCUCCUGUUAAAUCCCGAGGCUCAACUUCGGGGCUGCGGGAGAGAUGGCUAAACUAGAGACCGGGAGAGGUAAGCGGAAUUGCUGGUGUAGGGGUUAAAUCCGUUAAUAUCAGCAAGAACACCUAAUGUGAAGACAGCUUACUAGAACGGUUCUGACACUAAGGUACGAAAGCGUGGGGAGCGAAUGGGAUUAGAUACCCCAGUAGUCCACGCCGUAAACGAUGGAUGCUAAGCUUUGGCAGUAUCGACCCUGCCAGUGCUGUCUACCUAAGUUAACACCUUAAGCAUCCCGCCUGGGGAGUACGAGCGCAAGCUUAAAACUCAAAGAAAUAGACGGGGACCCGCACAAGCGGUGGAGCAUGUGGUUUAAUUCGACGAUAAGCGAGGAACCUCACCAAGGUUUGACAUCUAGCUGCAGAGCCCUGGAAACAGGGCAGCCUUCGAGGGUGCUAGACAGAUACUGCAUGGUUGUCGUCAGCUCGUGUCGUGAGAUGUACCGUUAAUUCGGGAAACGAGCGCAACCCCUAUCCUAUGUUUUACAUGUCAUAGGAAACUGCCCGCUUUAAGUGGGAGGAAGGCGGGGAUGACGUCAAAUCAGCAUGGUUCGUACAAAGGGACGCCAAAGCGUAAGCUGGAGCAAAUCCUUUAAAACUUCUCUCAGUUCGGAUUGAGGUCUGCAACUCGACCUCAUGAAGCUGGAAUCGCUAGUAAACGUGAAUCAGCCACG
rnacentral:rRNA from 1 species